rnacentral:rRNA from 1 species
CACGUGAGUAACCUGCCCUGGACUUUGGGAUAACCCUCGGAAACGGGGCCUAAUACCGGAUACGACACAGUCUCGCAUGGGAUCUGUGUGGAAAGUUUUUACCGGUCUGGGAUGGGCUCGCGGCCUAUCAGCUUGUUGGUGGGGUGGAUGGCCUACCAAGGCGACGACGGGUAGCCGGCCUGAGAGGGCGACCGGCCACACUGGGACUGAGACACGGCCCAGACUCCUACGGGAGGCAGCAGUGGGGAAUAUUGCACAAUGGGCGGAAGCCUGAUGCAGCGACGCCGCGUGAGGGAUGAC